GCAAAUACUGUGAACGAAUAAAACCUGUGCAAUGCCCGAUACAGAGAGUUUCCGUCUGGUGCGAGGAAACGACGGCGCAUAGUGACCUACAUUCGGGAGUUGCCGCAUUGAACCUGAGUAGGUGCGGUCGGGUAUGCCCGUUACAGCUUUUCGAGUUCCGAUUAUCGGAUAAAUCAGGGUGGUACCGCGAGUAGCUUCGCCCCUGAG
rnacentral:ncRNA from 1 species